ensembl:snRNA U6 U6 spliceosomal RNA
GUGUCGGCUUCGGCAGCACCGAUAUUACAACUGGAACGGUACAGAUGGGAUUAGCAUGGCCCCUGCUCAAUGACAAGCAAAUCCCUGCAGUGUUCCGUAUUUGU